GACGAACGCUGGCGGCGCGCUUAACACAUGCAAGUCGAGCGAUGAAAUCUUAACAGAACCCCUCGGGGCGAAGAUAAGACGGAUUAGCGGCGGACGGGUGAGUAACACGUGAGUAACCUGCCUUUUACACAGGGAUAGCCUCGGGAAACCGGGAUUAAAACCUGAUGAAACUAUCAAAUCACAUGAUUAAGAAAGUUAAAACUCCGGUGGUAAAAGAUGGACUCGCGUCCCAUUAGCUAGUUGGUGAAGGUAACGGCCCACCAAGGCAACGAUGGGUAGCCGGCCUGAGAGGGUGAACGGCCACAUUGGAACUGAGAAACGGUCCAAACUCCUACGGGAGGCAGCAGUGGGGAAUAUUGCACAAUGGGGGAAACCCCUGAUGCAGCGACGCCGCGUGAGGGAAGAAGGCCUUUCGGGUUCGU
rnacentral:rRNA from 1 species